CCUCCUCAGUCAGAGACACUGAGCUGUUACAGCAGGAACCAACUGCAGCUGCUGAAGAGGAACAGACUCUGACACAGACACUGAACUCAGACCUGAAACUAACCUCAACAAACACCAAUGUGUUGUCAUUGUGCCAUUUAAAAACACAAACAGGAAUAUUAAGCAAUACUUUAUCUAACUGUACCACAAAUUUGUGUUUCUAGUUAAAUUUACAAUGUUUUCAAUGAAAACCUAAAACAUUAGUGUAAUAAUCACCUAAAAACAAAUAGCAUAAGAACUGAGUGCCUUUGACCUCUGACCUUUGUCCUUCAUAAUGUGCUUGAUUUGCUGCUAGAGGCUGGUGUAGCAAUCCACGUCUGGACCUAGGUAACUUAACACAACGUGUGAGCUUCACUCCCUUCCACAGAGACAAAGCUGCGAUUCACGAGAAGAUAAGAAUACACACAGUUCCUGUCUAUUCCACAGGACACUGUUUGCUCGCACGACAGAACUACCAAGACCUGUCUCAUAAUUUCUCUACCAAGACUCACUCCAUGGACUCUCCCACUCGUCCAGGAGAUCUGGAUCGUAAACCAGGAAUGUGAAGCAAUAAAAAGGAAAACUCUUCAUUUGGACACAAGUUCUGGUUCAGAUGUAGCAGAACCUUCAACUGUCAAGAAACAGAUGCCAUUGUACUCUUUGGACAAAAUGUUUUUAUUUGAUAUUAGAUUGGGUUCUUUGUGAUGUUCAAUGCCUGAUCUACAGAUUUGCCAGGAAAUUCCUCAAGUUACAAAGGGACUUCAACUUAUCACCACGCUUUCCUUUGUGUGAAGACACAAAGUUGAAAUACAGAUACUCACCUUCUUUACUUCUUUUAAUCUGUGCAACAUACACAUAGACUAUGUCCACCAGCUACAUUUAGGUAUCCUCAUUAUUGUAUUACAUUUUUAAGUGUUUAAUUUAAUUAAGUUUACAAUUGUUUAAUUAGUAAUGUCCAGAUUAGGUCAUUUAUAAUUUGAUUUUGCUUGCAUUUAUUAUUCGUGUAUGUUUUACUGUUUA